CCCGUAACAUCAUUUGGAUGUGCAGCUUUGUCAAUAGACGCACCUUCUACCAUUAAGAAGAAACCUUUAUCAUUCUUUUCAAGUUUACUUAAAGCACUGUUUU
rnacentral:sRNA from 1 species